AUGAAUGGUGCAUCAGGAGAGUCUUCUUGGCCAAACACUUUUGAAGAUGCAACAGGUGCACAUGUCACAGGGCAGUCUUGUGAGAACGUGGUAACUGAGAUCAUGUCAAUGGGCUAUGAAGGCCAGCAAAUGACCACAGCCCUAAGAGCUGGUUUCAACUACCCUGACAGAGCAGUGGGGCAUCUUUCUAUGGGAACCCCAGAGAUAGAGAAAGUCGGGCUGUGGUUGAUCCCCUCCCCCAGCAGCUAGGACGGGGGCUCCUCAGUCUUCAGUGGCUGCAGCUGCAACCCUACACGUUCUGGAGAAGCCCCUUGAAUUCUUACGGAUCAGCCUCAGUUUCAACAGAUGAGACAAAGGACUAACAGAAUCCUUCCCUGCUUCUGGCAUUGCUGUCAGAGGUCAAGAACAUUCUCAACUCCUGCAGCAAAUUAGCCAACCCCAGGAUCAUUUGAUUCCGGUGUUAAAUGAACCAGUUCAAGAAGCAGGUGGUCAAGGAGGAGGGCGUGGAGGCGCGGGGGCGGAGCUGCACAAGCCGGAAGUGCGCCUGCGAGCUACACUCAAGGAACGUCUCGGGACUGAGAAGCCAUAGAAGGAUGAAAGGCGCUAGGGUUUCCUGAAGGACUUGUGAUACGAGCAUAGUUUGCUUGUGAGAAGAAUGAGAACUUGGCUGUCAAUUUUCUUCUAUAGCAAAACUUUGAUGAAGAUGGAAAGGGACUUUUUUCCUCGAAAAGUUUUAAAAUCACCAUUGCAUGUUUACUUUGGAAGUACCCCUUUGUGAGAGCUACCAAAGUGACAGCAGAUGGCGAGCAAACUGGACAGGAUGCUGAGAGGACCAACAGGAGAGCAGACUCCUUAGGAGGAUUCAUUAAGGAGCUUUCCCAGGAUGCAGAAGCUGUAAAUGAAAAAGCUGUAAGACUAAAUGAAACUCUAGGAACUCAAGACAAGGCCUUUGAGAGAAAUUUGCAAGGGCUUCAGAAAGAGAUUGAUCAGAUGAUGGCAGAACUGAGGAGGAAAAAUCUAGAUAAACAAAAGGAGGUUGCUGAAGAUGAGUUAGUAGCUGCAGAAGGCCUUCUGAAGAAGGUGAAGAAGUUAUUUGGAGAGUCCCGAGGGAAAAACGAGGAACUGGAGAAGGGUCUCCAGGCAAUAUUGGCAGACUACAAAGACAAAGUUGAUGAUGCUUGGGACCUGUUGAGAGAAGCCAUGGAGAAAAUCAGAGAGGCUAAUCGCUUAUCUGCAGCAAACCAGAAAAACAUGACUGCUUUGGAG